rnacentral:lncRNA from 1 species
GAUCAUUUAAUUUCCAUCAGCAGACCUAGAGGUGCCGUGGCGAAUGGGGCAAUUGAAUAGGUUGCUGAAUUCUCUCAUUUGUAUAGUCUUUUUUUUUUCAGAAUUGCUCUGUUAUAUGGAGAAGCCUGUUUUCGAAGUUUUUCUAAAAGAAAGCUCAAAAAAAUGAAAUUCUUUCCAAAUUUUGCUUGCCUGUGUACACAGUGGACUCUGUACGGUUGGACUGUAUUUAGGCAUACUACACAUUCUCAAGGUUGGGUUUGGAUUCGAGUACAUGACAUUGUGAAAGUGGAAAGCAU